CCAGGGCCCAGGGUCCUAUGGGGCCACACUCAUCUAGAGUGACAUUUUAAAUGACUGAAGAAUGCCAUUUUCUUUCUGUUGAACAUUGCUGCCAGAGAGGUCUACCUCCCUUUUUAAAGCUCAGGCUGCCUCCUUAUAAGAGCAAAAGCCUGAAAGACCAUAAAAUCUGAAACUUAUUAUAACUGUCUAUAUAUUGUUUCCAUUCCUGCAUAACAUAUACCUGUACGAGCUGUAUAAAUAAAUGUAUAUUAUAUA